AUGCACCACGGCAAUGGAUUCUGCCGGGCCACAUGGCCGAACCGCCCUUCGGGCUGAUGAUUCCUACCUUUUG
rnacentral:ncRNA from 2 species